rnacentral:rRNA from 1 species
UACAGAGGUCUCAAGCGUUGUUCGGAUUCAUUGGGCGUAAAGGGUGCGUAGGCGGCGCGGUAAGUCGGAUGUGAAAUCUCGGGGCUUAACUCCGAAACUGCAUUCGAUACUACCGUGCUUGAGGACUGGAGAGGAGACUGGAAUUUACGGUGUAGCGGUGAAAUGCGUAGAUAUCGUAAGGAAGACCAGUGGCGAAGGCGGGUCUCUGGACAGUUCCUGACGCUGAGGCACGAAGGCUAGGGGAGCAAACAGG